UAUAAUGUUUUGACUAUUCGUCUUAUUGAAAAAUUUUUACGAUUAAUAUUUUUAUUCUUACUAGAUGAUAAAACAUAAAUAAUACUUUAUGCGUGGCUAACUUUUUAAGUUUUUUUACAAAUUUUUUAAAUAAGACGAAUGGUCAAACAUUGGACACGGAAAAAC
rnacentral:pre_miRNA from 1 species